rnacentral:rRNA from 1 species
GACGAACGCUGGCGGCGUGCCUAAUACAUGCAAGUCGAACGAGUGGCGGAAGGGUGAGUAAUAUAUCGGAACGUGCCCAGUAGCGGGGGAUAACUACUCGAAAGAGUGGCUAAUACCGCAUACUAUUGGAGCGGCCGAUAUCGGAUUAGCUAGUUGGUGGGGGAAAGGCUCACCAAGGCAACGAUCCGUAGCGGGUUUGAGAGGAAGACCAGCCACACUGGGACUGAGACACGGCCCAGACUCCUACGGGAGGCAGCAGUGGGGAAUGUUGGACAAUGGGGGAAACCCUGAUCCAGCCAUCCCGCGUGUAUGAGAAGGCCUUCGGGUUGUAAAGUACUUUUGGCAGAGAAGCGGUAUCUGCAGAAUAAGCACCGGCUAACUACGUGCCAGCAGCCGCGGUAAUAC